GCGGCGGUAGUUCAAUGGUAGAACCUCAGCCUUCCAAGCUGAUGACACGGGUUCGAUUCCCGUUCGCCGCUCCA
rnacentral:tRNA from 9 species